UGGGGAAUAUUGGACAAUGGGGGCAACCCUGAUCCAGCCAUGCCGCGUGUGUGAAGAAGGCCUUUUGGUUGUAAAGCACUUUAAGCAGGGAGGAGAGGCUAAUGGUUAAUACCCAUUAGAUUAGACGUUACCUGCAGAAUAAGCACCGGCUAACUCUGUGCCAGCAGCCGCGGUAAUACAGAGGGUGCGAGCGUUAAUCGGAAUUACUGGGCGUAAAGCGAGUGUAGGUGGCUCAUUAAGUCACAUGUGAAAUCCCCGGGCUUAACCUAGGAACUGCAUGUGAUACUGGUGGUGCUAGAAUAUGUGAGAGGGAAGUAGAAUUCCAGGUGUAGCGGUGAAAUGCGUAGAGAUCUGGAGGAAUACCGAUGGCGAAGGCAGCUUCCUGGCAUAAUAUUGACACUGAGAUUCGAAAGCGUGGGUAGCAAACAGGAUUAGAUACCCUGGUAGUCCACGCCGUAAACGAUGUCUACUAGCCGUUGGGGUCCUUGAGACUUUAGUGGCGCAGUUAACGCGAUAAGUAGACCGCCUGGGGAGUACGGCC
rnacentral:rRNA from 1 species